rnacentral:rRNA from 1 species
ACGGAAGGCAGCAGUGGGGGAUAUUGCACAAUGGGGGAAACCCUGAUGCAGCGACGCCGCGUGAGUGAAGAAGUAUUUCGGUAUGUAAAGCUCUAUCAGCAGGAAAGAUAAUGACGGUACCUGACUAAGAAGCACCGGCUAAAUACGUGCCAGCAGCCGCGGUAAUACGUAUGGUGCGAGCGUUAUCCGGAUUUACUGGGUGUAAGGGGAGCGCAGACGGCAUGGCAAGCCAGAUGUGAAAUGCGGGGGCUCAACUCCUGAACUGCAUUUGGAACUGUCAAGCUAGAGUAUCGGAGAGGUAAGUGGAAUUCCUAGUGUAGCGGUGAAAUGCGUAGAUAUUAGGAGGAACACCAGUGGCGAAGGCGGCUUACUGGACGAUAACUGACGUUGAGGCUCGAAAGCGUGGGGAGCAAACAGGAUUAGAUACCCUGGUA